UACGGGGGGGGCAAGCGUUGUUCGGAAUUACUGGGCGUAAAGGGCUCGUAGGCGGCCAACUAAGUCGGAUGUGAAAUCCCCAGGCUUAACCUGGGAACUGCGUCUGAUACUGGAUGGCUUGAGUUUGGGAGAGGGAUGCGGAAUUCCAGGUGUAGCGGUGAAAUGCGUAGAUAUCUGGAGGAACACCGGUGGCGAAGGCGGCAUCCUGGACCAACACUGACACUGAGGAGCGAAAGCCAGGGGAGCGAACAGG
rnacentral:rRNA from 1 species